UACAGAGGGUGCAAGCGUUAAUCGGAAUUACUGGGCGUAAAGCGUGCGUAGACGGUUAUGUAAGUCGGAUGUGAAAUCUCGGAGCUCAACUCCGAAACUGCAUUGGAAACUACCUGGCUAGAGGUUUGGAGGGGGGACUGGAAUGCUUGGUGUAGCAGUGAAAUGCGUAGAUAUCAAGCGGAACACCAGUGGCGAAGGCGAGUCCCUGGACAACACCUGACACUGAGGCACGAAAGCUAGGGGAGCAAACAGG
rnacentral:rRNA from 1 species